UUGAAAGGGAAACGAUUGAAGUCAGUCGUACCUGUGGGUAAUCAGCCUUUUGGGGUGAUUAUGUGGAGGGUGAGGAGGUAAACGCCUUUAUGCCUGCAUAUUCGUGCACUUUGGGUGUAUUUACCCGUGUGGUAAGUUAACAUCAAUUUCGGGGGUCAUAAAAUGGCUGGAGGAAUGGAGCUUCGAUCUUGUAUUGAAGUGGUAUAGCCUUCGGUAGAUGUGAUGGUCGGGAUUGAGGAUUGCAACGGAUACCCUUCGGGGCUACCUGGUCUGAUCUCUGAUCGUUGCUCUGGUGCCGGAAGGUUGCUUACGGUUAUCAAAGUCGAUGGUCAAUAGGUUAGAACGGGUUAAAUUCGUUAAGGAUGUUGACGUA
rnacentral:rRNA from 1 species